CCAAAUCCAGCUGAAUUAGUUUUGCAUGUUUUUGCACGAAAAAAAAGAAAGAAUAUAUAGUUUACGUAUGACCAUAUUUUAUGUUUUAAUUUUAAGAAUUUCCAUCCAUAUAAUGUAAACCCGUAUAUUUUGGGAUCUACUAUCAUGUAGGCUGUAGUCUCUAGCUAUAGCCAAGAAAAAAAAAUGACAGAUAGAUUGACAAUCGUUAUAAGAAAAAAAAAAGAUUAAUACUCUUAAUCAUACACAACCCAAAUAAAUAUUAAAAAGAUACUUACGUAAAUGAUAUGAAACUUAUUUAGAUAAAUGAUCAAAUAGAAUCUUAAUCUAAUAAUUAGUAAAAAGUCAAAUACACAUGUGAACGCGAUGGAGAUAUCUAUAUUUGUUGUGGGAAUGACUUAAGUCGACUGUCGACGUCGGAAAACAAAAUUUCAGAGUCAUGACUGAAAGAAAAUUGAAAAUUCCAUCAUAAUGUUAAGAAAAAAAUGUAAUAAAGUUUUUGCAUGAGUGUUGAUUUUCCUUUUGUUUCUACAAAGUCAAGCCACGUACAUUGCGUAAAGGCUGAUUUUGAUUUAUAAAUUCAUUUUAGACUUUUCAAUACUCAACUUUCUAUAAAAAUAUAUACUUUAUUGUUAUCUCAAUAACAUUGUGAAAGCUGUGUGUUACCGUUAUUAGACUCAGUCAUUCGCUUCGUCACUUGUACAAUAAAAUGUCGUCACUCAUAGACAUAUUAAAUCCUCAUGUGAUUUUUUUGUUAGCCUAUCUUUUUUUUUUUUAAUAAUAAAACAGCCUGUUUUAGUUGCACCUUCAUGUGCGUUUUACCGACUGAAUUGGCGAGAUAAGCUUCGGAUUAUAGCAACAAAGAGGAGAUGUGAUUCGAGUCGAUUGAUAUAGAUACGAAUCUAUUUGUUACAAUAGUAAAAAAAAAUAUAAAAAUAUUUCAUUUUCAAGAAAUAAUGUCAUAAGAAGUCAAAGGAAGAUAUUGUCAUUAUGGUUAGUCAAAUAAAAAAAUUGUAAGCCAGCAGUUACGUUCAUACCUGCUUUCCGUUGACUUUUAUAAUAACUACACUAGUCUUUUGAAAUACUCCAUUACCUAAUUGCAUUUGUUCCAAAAAUAUACCACUACUAGUCUUAAUAAAUUGUAAUUAGACUAGGAAAUAAUUUUUAUUUGACC